CCUACGGGAGGCAGCAGUGGGGAAUAUUGGGCAAUGGGCGCAAGCCUGACCCAGCAACGCCGCGUGAAGGAAGAAGGCUCUCCGGUUGUUAACUUCUUUUAUGAGGGACGAAAGAUAUGACGGUACCUCAUGAAUAAGCCACGGCUAACUACGUGCCAGCAGCCGCGGUAAUACGUAGGUGGCAAGCGUUAUCCGGAUUUACUGGGUGUAAAGGGCGUGUAGGCGGGACUGCAAGUCAGAUGUGAAAAUUAUGGGCUCAACCCAUAACCUGCAUUUGAUACUGGAUUGCUUGAGUGAAGGUGAGGCAGGCGGAAUUCCGGGUGUAGCGGUGAAAUGCGUAGAUAUAACGAAGAACACCAGUGGCGAAGGCAGCCUACUGGACAGUAACUGACGCUGAGGCGCGAAAGCGUGGGGAGCAAACAGGAUUAGAUACCCUAGUAGUC
rnacentral:rRNA from 1 species